ACAUGAGGGGGGAAAAGUCCCUCCUGUAAGCCGUGUAUCUUCUGAAUCACUGGUUCCUGUCACUGCCUAACAAGGAACCCCUGCUAAGCAGGAGGGGAAUUCUGUGAUAACCGAUUAAUCUUGAUAAUUGCCUGGGGGAUUUUACUGUGCUCUAAUUUCAACUUCCAUGCAAAUUACUUUCCUGAUCUAUUACGAGGUGGCACCACGUUGAAACUGUGACUUGCUGUGUAAAGGCAGAGAACAGGACACGGAAAGUCCCUCCGAAUUUGAACUUUCCAGAAUGAAUCAGCUGUGACGUUCCUUUUGCUUUCGUGCAUUCAGGAGCAGCUGUUUUGGCUGGGAGGGCGCCCGUUUGCUGAAUGGAAGGGAUGAACUUGCCUCUUGGAUACUUGGCUCCAAAUCCAGCCCACUGCCAUCACCCUGGACUGCGUUCCAGGGAAGAAAUUGAGAUGGUACACCCUUAACCUCAGUAAAUGGUCUCAGAUAUCUUGGCAUCCACGAGGAUAGCUUGUUUAAAUAUUCAUGAUAUAUACACCCUUAUUAGAGUGUCGCUCAAGAUUUUGAAAGAGUGUGUGUGUGUGAGAGAGAAAGAGUUGUGGCUAAGAAAGCCCAAAGCUAUGAAAGUGCCUCAAAGGACUGUUUGCUGUUAUCAUACUUUUAGUUUUAUCACCCUGGUAGAGCACUUCAGUGCACAGGAAGGAAAUGUGACACAGCUGACUUUAGGCAGACAUGAUCCCAUUCCUCGUGCGUGGAGAUUAGAAGUGGAACCAGGCCUUUCAUGAAGACCAGUCAAUUUGACAGCUCCUGUUUCAUAAUGAUUGGCAAGGGUCCCAUUGUGUUAUCUGUCCUGCUCUGUUUAAGUGAAUCAGGCAUCUGUCCGUGUGCCACAGUUCUGUUGUCACUGUUUUUUUCCCCGCAUCCACAAGAACCCAUUGAACAUACAGUAGAAUCACUUUCAGUCACACACACAUCCACACAAGGAUACCUAACCAUCCCUUUGGGAAAGGCUAUGUAUAUAAUCAGGCUUUUUCCACUAUCCUUAAUCCUUUUAUUUCUUUUUGCAUUCAUUUAAAAUCUUUUAAAUAAAGAAGUUUCUUCCCUUAAAGUCCAAAGUGCAUUUUAUAGCUGCAAAAGCAUGACAUAAAAAAAAUUCCGUGAUCUACAGAUGUGGUGAAAAAAUAUGUUUUAACUGACAUACACAAAUUUAAAACAUAAAGCAAUGUGCAAAUAGUGACACUUUAGGCUCACAGAUGGCAAUAGAAGUGGUGCCUGAAAUGUUUAAUUUUCUUUGUUGCAUCCUGCAGGAAAUUAAGUAGCAACCACAAUGUGUUUCACCCUGGUCCCAAAACAAAACAGUGACACCAGGAAUAACCCCUUUUCAUUUGCAUGUUUUUAAAAUUCCUUUGAGUCAAUACAUCUAAAACAGAGUUCUGUAAUAAAGUUCUUGCACAUGCUCAUCUGGAUCAUAUUCAGUGUGGUUCAUUAUCCAAAGAAUGUUCUUGUUUUGUUGGAUUCUAAUGAAGAAAAUAACACUGUGCUUUUGUAAAACAAAGGCAUUGGGACCCGAUUCAUCAUAACACACUCAUGUAAACCUGCUGGGUCCAGAGGCCCCGAUCCUUGGGAAGAGUGAGAAACGGGAGCAAUGCUGCCCCCACAGUCACCACUCCCCCACACAUCCCAGCUAACAUUGCUCCGCAUCAACACCCAUGCGAUUAAGACAUUGAGGGCCUGACAAGGGGCCCUCCUUUGCUGACAAUAAAACAAUUAAGCCGUUUGCUGGGCAAGGGACAGGGAGUUCCGUCAACCUGUUCCUACAAAUGAGUCUCCUGUGGGAUGCUGAAUGAUUCUCAUUCCCCCCGCAGUCAAGCCGAACAGCUGGAGGUGCUGGCGGAAGCGGGAUUUGCGCUUGCUACCCGGCCAUCU
ensembl:lncRNA